AUUUAAAGAGCACAGGCCUGGCUUAUGACUUUUAACUAGAAUUUGAUAGCAAUAAUAAGCUUCACUCUGAAGCAGUCUAGCUAAAAGCUGCCUGUGUAUAAGAAAGCAAAAGCGGUUAGUAGAACUAGUUGAAGAUGGAUGCCCCGCCGGUCUAUCAAGAGGUGUCUUACUACGAUCAUGUUAAGCAGCGACAUGCGGAUAAAGGCUGCCUCUAUGCUUGUUUGUUCGCGGCGUGUUGCUGUUUCUGUUGCUACGAGACAUGCGAGUGCUGUUUGGAUAUCAUCUGCUGCAAGUGUUUCUAAAAUCUUCUUGGUCUACUGAUUCAAUUCUCUCUUAAUUUGUGCCCGUGAAGCAAACUAUGUCGGUCCUGUUGUUUUUAGUUUUUUGAGCUCCUUCAGCUUCUUGGUUUGGUUCAAAAUUGAGACUUUAACCGGUCUCAGGUGUUAAAAAGAUUGUCAGACUCAUAUAAACUGUUCUCCCUUCGUAAUUAAUUCCUUCUUCGUGCUUGAGCUGAAUGAUUCUGCAUUUACACCUCUCACUAGUUUAAGUGCCAUCCAAUCCAUUGUAGUAAAGCAAAGUUCGAGCUUUACACCUUGCGACGUUUCAUAAUAAAAGCUCACGUUGAUGAAUA